AGUGAACGCUUGGCGGCAGGCCUAACACAUGCAAGUCGAGCGGCAGCGCGGGGCAACCUGGCGGCGAGCGGCGGACGGGUGAGGAAUGCGUCGGAAUCUGCCUUUUUGUGGGGGAUAACGUAGGGAAACUUACGCUAAUACCGCAUACGACCUACGGGUGAAAAGUGGGGGGACCGCAAAGGCCUCACGCAGAAAGAUGAGCCGACGCCCGAUUAGCUAGUUGGUGAGGUAAAAGGCUCACCAAGGCGACGAUCGGUAGCUGGUCUGAGAGGAUGAUCAGCCACACUGGGACUGAGACACGGCCCAGACUCCUACGGGAGGCAGCAGUGGGGAAUAUUGGACAAUGGGCGCAAGCCUGAUCCAGCCAUGCCGCGUGUGUGAAGAAGGCCUUCGGGUUGUAAAGCACUUUUGUCCGGAAAGAAAUCCCAAAGGUUAAUACCUUUUGGGGAUGACGGUACCGGAAGAAUAAGCACCGGCUAACUUCGUG
rnacentral:rRNA from 1 species